UCCGGUUUGGCACCGGCAGUCUCGCUAGAGUACUCGGCAUUACCCGUGAGCAACUAACGACAGGGGUUGCGCUCGUUAAGGGACUUAACCCGACACUUCACAGCACGAGCUGACGACAGCCAUGCAGCACCUGUGCACGUUCCGCCCUUGCGGGUGUGGCCCUGCUUUCACAGGGUUAAUCCGUGCAUGUCAAGCCCAGGUAAGGUUCUUCGCGUUGCCUCGAAUUAAGCAACAUGCUCCACCGCUUGUGUGAGCCCCCGUCAAUUCAUUUGAGUUUUAGCCUUGCGACCGUACUCCCCAGGCGGUGCACUUAUCGUUUUUACUGCGACUGAUACGGCGUCAAAACCGCACCAGUCUAGUGCACAUCGUUUACGGCGUGGACUAC
rnacentral:misc_RNA from 1 species